AGAGUUUGAUCAUGGCUCAGGAUGAACGCUAGCGGCAGGCCUAAUACAUGCAAGUCGUACGGGAUUGGGGAGCUUGCUCCCCAUGAGAGUGGCGCACGGGUGCGUAACACGUAUGCAACCUACCUUUAACUGGGGGAUAGCCUUUCGAAAGAGAGAUUAAUACCGCAUAAGACAGCACGAUCGCAUGAAAGAGUUGUUAAAGCUUCGGUGGUUAAAGAUGGGCAUGCGUUGCAUUAGCUAGUUGGUAAGGUAACGGCUUACCAAGGCUACGAUGCAUAGGGGAUCUGAGAGGAUGAUCCCCCACACUGGUACUGAGACACGGACCAGACUCCUACGGGAGGCAGCAGUAAGGAAUAUUGGUCAAUGGGCGCAAGCCUGAACCCAGCCAUGCCGCGUGCAGGAAGACGGCCCUAUGGGUUGUAAACUGCUUUUAUCGGGGAAUAAACCUCAUUACGUGUAAUGAGUUGAAGGUACCCGAAGAAUAAGGAUCGGCUAACUCCGUGCCAGCAGCCGCGGUAAUACGGAGGAUCCAAGCGUUAUCCGGAUUUAUUGGGUUUAAAGGGUGCGUAGGCGGUUUAUUAAGUCAGUGGUGAAAGCCCGGAGCUCAACUUCGGAACUGCCAUUGAUACUGAUAGACUUGAGUACAGAUGAAGUGGGCGGAAUGUGACAAGUAGCGGUGAAAUGCUUAGAUAUGUCACAGAACACCGAUUGCGAAGGCAGCUCACUAAAGUGUAACUGACGCUGAGGCACGAAAGCGUGGGGAUCAAACAGGAUUAGAUACCCUAGUAGUCC
rnacentral:rRNA from 1 species